GGGGGGUGCAAGCGUUAUUCGGAAUUACUGGGCGUAAAGAGCGCGUAGGCGGUCUCAUAAGUCGGGGUGUGAAAGCCCGGGGGCUCAACCCCGGAAGUGCACUCGAAACUAUGGGACUUGAGUAUGGGAGAGGGAAGUGGAAUUCCUGGUGUAGCGGUGAAAUGCGUAGAUAUCAGGAGGAACAUCGGUGGCGAAGGCGACUUCCUGGACCAAUACUGACGCUGAGGCGCGAAGGCGUGGGGAGCAAACAGGAUUAGAUACCCUGGUAGUCCACGCAGUAAACGGUGAUCACUAGGUGUAGCGGGUAUUGACCCCUGCUGUGCCGCAGCAAACGCAUUAAGUGAUCCGCCUGGGGAGUACGACCGCAAGGUUA
rnacentral:rRNA from 1 species